GAUGGAACAUGUUUAUUUGUCUAUCUGUUUUGUUCUUUAUCUCAGUUUUCCACUUUCUUUAAAAGGUUUUCCCUCAACAUUAUCUUUUGUAAUCAUGCUUUGUUGUCCAUCACUCCAGAACCUUCUUCAGUCUAGAAUUGCAUUGCGCAAUUUUAUGGCAUGUUUAUUAGUUUGUAUUCUUCAUUUGCCAAUAGUCUCUAGAUAAACAUUGCAAAGGGAUUAAUUCUUUUUAAAAUGUUUAAGAAGCAUCUGAUACGAAAGAUCAAUUGUCUUUUAAAUGUAUUCAAGUUGCUGCAGCCUUACAAAGGAACAAGGAGGCAUUUUUUAAUUAGUUUCAACCACCAAUUAUUAAGUGCUUUGUUUGAUUUUGAUUCCAAGAACAAUCAAUUUUCUAGAAUUUAGAGUAUUUUAUUCAUGUUUGCACUCUGCCCUGAGAUUACAUAAUUUUGUAUUUUAAGUAUUUUAGUAUCAUUUUCUUGUAAAAUUAUGCGAUGUCUCUGAAUGGUUUUGUGUGCUGGUUAUAUUUGUUCUCUAAUGAAACAUGAAAUUCUAAUUAUUGAAUUUUCUUUCGGUAGGCUGGGCGGUUGAGGUCAGAGAACAACUUGCUUCACAUGAGAACGAAGAAGAUUGAAAGAUGGAGCACCCAGAAUCAGAGAACGAAGAAGAAGAAGAAGAAGCAUAAGAAUUUUUUUCUACACAUUUGUACUCUCAGGUUGAAGAAGAAGAAGAAAAAAAAUGGCAAAAAAAAAAAAAAAAAAACAAUGCCAGAUCGAAGAGAAGAACGAAGAAGAAGACAUUUUUUCCUCCACAUUUGUACACCAGAUCGAAAAUAAAAUUGCAAAAAAAAACAAAUUGCCAGAUCGAAGAACAAGACAAACGAAGAAAAA